GUGGGGAAUAUUGGGCAAUGGGCGCAAGCCUGACCCAGCAACGCCGCGUGAGGGAAGAAGGCUUUCGGGUUGUAAACCUCUGUCCUUGGUGACGAAGAAAGUGACGGUAGCCAAGGAGGAAGCCCCGGCUAACUACGUGCCAGCAGCCGCGGUAAUACGUAGGGGGCGAGCGUUGUCCGGAAUUACUGGGCGUAAAGGGUGCGUAGGUGGCCUUUUAAGUUGGAUGUGAAAUACCCGGGCUUAACUUGGGGGGUGCAUCUAAUACUGGGAGGCUAGAGUGCAGGAUAGGGAAGCGGAAUUCCUAGUGUAGCGGUGAAAUGCGUAGAUAUUAGGAGGAACACCAGUGGCGAAGGCGGCUUUCUGGACUGUAACUGACACUGAGGCACGAAAGCGUGGGGAGCAAACAGGAUUAGAAACCCGGGUAGUCC
rnacentral:rRNA from 1 species